CAUAUACUUCCUCUGUCCGGAAUUACUUAUCGUCAAAAUAAAUUGAAAUGGAUGUAUCUAGAUAAAAUACGUCUAGAUACAUCCAUCUCUCUCACGAGUAUUUCCGGACGGAGGGAGUACUCA
rfam:Hordeum vulgare subsp. vulgare, WGS project CAJW01000000 data, contig: morex_contig_1574636